GACGAACGCUGGCGGCGUGCUUAACACAUGCAAGUCGAACGAAGGGGCGAACGGGUGAGUAACGUGUAAUCAACCUGCCCUUCAGAGGGGGACAACAGUUGGAAACGACUGCUAAUACCGCAUGCUGAAGGAGGGGAUUGCGUCUGAUUAGCUAGUUGGAGGGGUAACGGCCCACCAAGGCGAUGAUCAGUAGCCGGUCUGAGAGGAUGAACGGCCAAAUUGGGACUGGGACAGUGCCCAGACUCCUACGGGAGGACGCAGUGGGGAAUCUUCCGAAAUGGACGAAAGUCUGACGGAGGCACGCCGCGUGAGUGGUGACGGCCUUCGGGUUGUAAAGCUCUGUUAAGCGGGACGCGGUACCGGAAUAGAAAGCCACGGCUAACUACGUGCCAGCAGCCGCGGUAAUAC
rnacentral:rRNA from 1 species